rnacentral:rRNA from 1 species
AUGGCGAGCUCCCGUGGCCGGUGGGCGAGCCCCGAGCGCACCGUCGUCUGGACCGAGCCGCCGCCCAAGACCACCUCCGCCACCACCAGGCGUCACGCUCACGCCCACGCCGCACCGCCCGCCAAGGUGCCCGUCGUCUACUACCUCUCGCGCAACGGCCAGCUCGACCACCCGCACUUCAUGGAGGUCCCCGUCUCCAACCCCCAGGACGGCCUCUGCCUCCGAGACGUGCUGGACCGGCUGACGGUGCUGCGGGGCGCCGGCAUGGCGGACGCCUACUCGUGGUCCUCCAAGCGGAGCUACAAGGCCGGCUACGUCUGGCACGACCUCACCGCCGACGACCCCGUGCACCCCGCCAGCGGCGCCGAGUACGUGCUCAAGGGCUCCGAGCUGCUCCCCCUCCUCCCCGCGCCGCCCUACCCGCGCGACGCCUCCGCCGGCUCCUCCUCGUCCUCCUCCACCUCCAGCUGCCAGGCCGGGAGCGAGAACAACAAGAAGAUGCCCGCAGUGGGCAUCAGCAGGGCGCACGGCCGGCGCAAGAACUGGAGCUCCUUCGACCUCGGGGAGUACCGGGUGGCCGCCGCGCGGGGCGGCGCCGGGGCGGACGCGGCCACGCAGACCGACGAGAGACGCGGCCGGCGCCGGGGCCCCGAGCCGACGACGGAGCUCGGCGCGGACGAGAUCUCGCCCCCGCCGUCGUCCAGCAGCCCGGACACGCUGGAGACGCUCAUCAACAACGACGUCCGCGUGGCCGCCGCAUCGAGCACCGUCGCCGCACGCCGGGGGGAGGAGGACGCGGGCCUGGCGCAGCAGGGAGUGAUCGCGGGCGGGCGGAUGCGCGCGUCGGCGGUGCUGAUGCAGCUCAUCUCCUGUGGCUCCAUCCCCGCGGCCCCCAAGCGCGAGACCGGCCCGGGCGGCGCGAGGUACACGGCGGAGCGCAGGCUGCCGCGCGGUCGGUCGGACCUGAGCAGCAGCACCGGCGGCGCAGACGGGUUCUCGGGCAGCAUUGGCGUCGGCGCAAGCAUGGAGCGGGAGUACUUCAGCGGCAGCCUGGUGGAGACCAAGAAGUCGGCGAGCGGCGACCGUGCCGGCCACGGCGGGGAGCUGGGCGCUCUGAAGCGCUCGUCUUCGUACAAUGCCGACAGAGAGUCCACGAUGAACACUGCUAGUACUACUACUACUACUAGUGGUGGUUGUAAGCUGGAGCUUGCGGCGGAGGAGGUGGACGGCGUGCGCGCCCGCUGCAUCCCCGCCGGCAGGAAACCCAGCGGCGGCAGCAGUAAGAAGUCUCCGACCACCCACGUCCACGUUAGCAGCAGGCGCGGUGACCAGCCGGAAACCACCGACGACGGACGGACCGACUGA